rnacentral:lncRNA from 1 species
AGAAUGUGAGGAUCCGUGUAGGCGUGUGUUUAGUCUCACAUCGGUUAUUUAUCGGAUAGAUCCUAAAUACUUAUACAUAAUCAAGGAAAACCCAAAUAAUGCAUUCCGGACUUUGAAGGAUCACGCAAAGCACUCCACUUUGGUAUGAGUCUUCUUUCACAUGAUCAGUUCCUAUCUUUAGAUUCUGUUUUCCUUGAUCCGGCCAUGUAGGAAAUAGCACAGUCA